rnacentral:rRNA from 1 species
CCCAGAGCUUAACUUUGGAACUGCAUUUUUAACUACCGAGCUAGAGUGUGUCAGAGGGAGGUGGAAUUCCGCGUGUAGCAGUGAAAUGCGUAGAUAUGCGGAGGAACACCGAUGGCGAAGGCAGCCUCCUGGGAUAACACUGACGCUCAUGCACGAAAGCGUGGCGAGCAAACAGGAUUAGAUACCCUGGUAGUCCACGCCCUAAACGAUGUCAACUAGCUGUUGGGGCCUUCGGGCCUUGGUAGCGCAGCUAACGCGUGAAGUUGACCGCCUGGGGAGUACGGUCGCAAGAUUAAAACUCAAAGGAAUUGACGGGGACCCGCACAAGCGGUGGAUGAUGUGGAUUAAUUCGAUGCAACGCGAAAAACCUUACCUACCCUUGACAUGUCUGGAAUGCCGAAGAGAUUUGGCAGUGCUCGCAAGAGAACCGGAACACAGGUGCUGCAUGGCUGUCGUCAGCUCGUGUCGUGAGAUGUUGGGUUAAGUCCCGCAACGAGCGCAACCCUUGUCAUUAGUUGCUACGAAAGGGCACUCUAAUGAGACUGCCGGUGACAAACCGGAGGAAGGUGGGGAUGACGUCAAGUCCUCAUGGCCCUUAUGGGUAGGGCUUCACACGUCAUACAAUGGUCGGGACAGAGGGUCGCCAACCCGCGAGGGGGAGCCAAUCCCAGAAACCCGAUCGUAGUCCGGAUCGCAGUCUGCAACUCGACUGCGUGAAGUCGGAAUCGCUAGUAAUCGCGGAUCAGCAUGUCGCGGUGAAUACGUUCCCGGGUCUUGUACACACCGCCCGUCACACCAUGGGAGUGGGUUUUACCAGAAGUAGUUAGCCUAACCGCAAGGAGGGCGAUUACCA